rnacentral:rRNA from 1 species
UACCUAGGUGGCAAGCGUUGUCCGGAUUUACUGGGUGUAAAGGGCGUGUAGCCGGGCUGACAAGUCAGAUGUGAAAUCCAGGGGCUCAACCCCCGAACUGCAUUUGAAACUGUUGGUCUUGAGUAUCGGAGAGGCAGGCGGAAUUCCUAGUGUAGCGGUGAAAUGCGUAGAUAUUAGGAGGAACACCAGUGGCGAAGGCGGCCUGCUGGACGACAACUGACGGUGAGGCGCGAAAGCGUGGGGAGCAAACAGG